rnacentral:rRNA from 1 species
CUACGGGUUGCUCCAGUGAGGAAUAUUGCACAAUGGGGGGAACCCUGAUGCAGCAACGCCGCGUGGAGGAUGACGCAUUUCGGUGUGUAAACUCCUUUUAUAUGUCAAGAAAAUGACGGUAGCAUAUGAGUAAGCACCGGCUAACUCCGUGCCAGCAGCCGCGGUAAUACGGAGGGUGCAAGCGUUACUCGGAAUCACUGGGCGUAAAGGACGCGUAGGCGGGUUGGAAAGUCAGGUGUGAAAUCCUACAGCUUAACUGUAGAACUGCACUUGAAACUUCUAAUCUAGAGUAUGGGAGGGGGAGAUGGAAUUAGUGGUGUAGGGGUAAAAUCCGUAGAUAUCACUAGGAAUACCUAAAGCGAGGGCGAUCUCCUGGAACAUUACUGACGCUAAGGCGUGAAAGCGUGGGGAGCAAACAGGAUUAGAUACCCUCGUAGUC